rnacentral:rRNA from 1 species
GGGAGAAAUAAAAACAAAAGUUGGGGGGGGGGUUUUUUUUUUUCCCCCCCUUUUUUCGGGCCCCCCGGGAGAAAAUACAACCCCAGAAGGGGAAAAAAUUUGUUUGUUUUUUUAUAUCGGGGGAAAAAAGUUUUUUUUUUUAAGAAAAAAAACCUUUUUUUUGCCCCCCGAAGGGGGGGAGGGCCCCCCCCCCCCUGGUUUAAUUUAGGUUUGGGUGGAGUAAAUAAACUUCCCCCCAAGACCAAUUGGUCCAGUUGGUUGUUUUGAGGAGGGGAGUUUUAGCCCACAUUGGGGAUUGGGACCCCGGCCCCAAAAUUCCCCCGGGGGGGCAGGCAGGGGGGAAUUUUGCCCCAAAUGGGGGAAAACCCUGGAUGCAGGGAUGCCCGCGUGAGUGAAAAAAGGCCUUUGGGGUGUAAAGCUCUUUUGUUGGAGAAGAAAAUGACUGUACCCGAAUUAGAAGUCCGGGCUAACUUCGUGCCAGCAGCCGCGGUAAUAGGAAGGGACCUAGCGUAGUUCGGAAUUACUGGGCUUAAAGAGUUCGUAGGUGGUUAAAAUAGUUGGUGGUGAAAUCCCAGAGCUUAACUCUGGAACUGCCAUCAAAACUUUUUAGCUAGAGUAUGAUAGAGGAAAGUAGAAUUUCUAGUGUAGAGGUGAAAUUCGUAGAUAUUAGAAAGAAUACCAAUUGCGAAGGCAGCUUUCUGGAUCAUUACUGACACUGAGGAACGAAAGCAUGGGUAGCGAAGAGGAUUAGAUACCCUCGUAGUCCAUGCUUUCAGCGAUGUGUGCUAGACGUUGGAAAUUUUAUUUUCAGUGUCGCAGCAAAAGCGAUAAGCACACCGCCUGGGGAGUACGACCGCAAGGUUAAAACUCAAAUGAAUUGACGGGGACCCGCACAAGUAGUGGAGCAUGUGGUUUAAUUCGAAGAUACGCGCAGAACCUUACCAACACUUGACAUGUUCGUCGCGACUCUAAGAGAUUAGAGUUUUCGGUUCGGCCGGACGAAACACAGGUGCUGCAUGGCUGUCGUCAGCUCGUGUCGUGAGAUGUUGGGUUAAGUCCCGCAACGAGCGCAACCCUCACUUUUAGUUGCUAACAUUUAGUUGAGCACUCUGAAAGAACUGCCAGUGAUAAACUGGAGGAAGGUGGGGAUGACGUCAAGUCCUCAUGGCCCUUACGUGUUGGGCUACACACGUGCUACAAUGGUAUGUACAACAGGAAGCAAGACGGCAACGUUAAGCAAAUCCUAAAAAGAUACCUCAGUUCGGAUAAGGUCUGCAACUCGAGUACAUGAAGCUGGAAUUACUAGUAAUCGUGGAUCAGCGUGCCCAUCUGUUAUUUGGCCC